rnacentral:rRNA from 1 species
AUUGAACGCUGGCGGCAGGCCUAACACAUGCAAGUCGAGCGAGCGGCGGACGGGUGAGUAAUGUAUGGGGACUGCCCGAUAGAGGGGGAUAACUACUGGAAACGGUGGAUAAUACCGCAUACUAUCGGAUAACCCAUAUGGGGUUGGCUAGUAGGGGGGGGAAAGGAUCACCUAGGCGACGAUCUCUAGCUGGUCUGAGAGGAUGGUCAGCCAGACUGGGAGUGAGACACGGCCCAGACGCUUACGGCGGCAGCAGUGGGGAAGAGUGCACAAUGGGCGCAAGCCUGUGGCAGCCAUGCCGCGUGUAGGAAGAAGGCCUUAGGGUUGUAAAGUACUUUCAGCGGGGCGGCGUUACCCGCAGAAGAAGCACCGGCUAACUCCGUGCCAGCAGCCGCGGUAAUAC